rnacentral:lncRNA from 10 species
GGGUCUACGAGGGACUGUGGUGAGCGCAAUUCUGAGAUUGCUCGCAAGAAUCCAGGCCUCGGAUGAGGAAGCUGGGGCCAGGGGAAGUGAAGAAAUGCAUCUUCCACUUUCUUAGUGACUCCCGUGGGCACUAUGCCCAUGUCCAGUGGUGCGGCCAUGGUGUGCAUAUGGGUCUCUUUCAAAUGACAGUUAUUUUUAAGGAAAGAAAACACCUGGCUUUCAGUGAGAGUAAUCAGAUAAAGCUGCUUAUGUUCACUGCAAACCUCCCCUGAGGUAAUGAGUGGGAGGCCCUCAGUGGAAAUGUCAGAAAGGCCAGCACUUUAUGCUUUAUUUUCUUUAUUCCCGGUCCAAAAUUAGAUGCAACUGGUGUGACUUCACAAGUGCUGUCCUCGGUCCCAAGCCGGGAUGUGGCCACUGUUUGCCAGGGAUCCUGCUGCAAAGGAUUCCAAAGCUUGGCUCCCAGCCCAGAUGCCCCUGCACUCCUGAGGCAGAGGCUCUGCAAGUCUUCUCCUUUCUCAUUCCCGAGGCUGGGGCUUCAUCCUUACAAAGUGUCCUUACAAACUCCUCCUUCCAAACCUGGCUUCUGAUGAGAGGGUGCAGAGAGAAAUUGGGCUUUGGAGGUAAAUGUAUUCUUCUCUGUAUUUCAUUAUCUCCUGGCACCUAGCACUAGAGCCAGCCUCGCUCAAUGGGCAUAAAAAUAAACAUUUACAUUUGACAGUUCAUUGGUAAAAUCUGAAUCUUGACCUCAAGGUUUGCCUCUUUGCAACUGGUCAAUCCAGGAUAGAUUCAGAAAACCACAGGAUGGGAUUUAGAGCAUCUAUGACCAUUAACUCAGACUUGGGCUAAUCUGAAUAGGCAGUUCUUAUCUAAAGGGAAACUCACACCACCAUCAUUCAUUUACAUUAAGCUGUCUCUCCAAACUCUAUGACUGGUAUAUCCAGUCUACUAGGUCCUCUAGAAAAUGCCUGAGCAGGCUGGGCAUCGUGGCUUACACCAGUAAUCCCAGCACUUUGGGAGGCCAAGGAGGGAGGAUCACUUGAGACCAAGAGUUCAAGACCAGCCUGGCCAACAUGGUGAAACCCCAUCUCUACUAAAAAUACAAAAAUUAGCCGGGUGCGAUGGUGCACGCCUGUAAUCCCAGCUACUCAGAAGGCUGAGGCAGGAGAAUCGCUUGAACAGGGAGGCAAAGGUUGCAGUGAGCGAAGACUGCCCCAGUGCACUCCAGCCUCGGUGAGAGAGUGGGACUCUGUCUCAAAUAAUAAAAUAA